rnacentral:snRNA from 9 species
AUACUUACCUAGCGUAGGAAUACCGUGAUCAUGCAGGCGGUUCCCCCAGGGUGAGGCUACUCCAUUGCACUGCGGAGUGGUUGACCCUUGCGAUUAUUUUUAUUUUUUAGUUUAUUUAGUUUUAUUAAGUUUCACUUCUACCGUGUGUAACUUG